rnacentral:ncRNA from 1 species
UAGCGAGUGGUUUGAGUUUUUCAUUUAUUUUUUAAUUCCAUGGGAAGUGGUGCAUGGCCAUUCAUAGUUGGUGGGGUGGGGUGAUUUGUUGCCUAAUUCCAUUAAUGAAUGAGACUUUCAGCCUGCUAACUAGCUUCGUGAGAUAUCCUCCACAACCAACUGCUUAGACAGAGCGACGAAGUAUGGCUGUUUAGGUCAAGAAUGUUUGAGGUGAAAACAGGUUUGUGAUGCCCUUAGAU